rnacentral:rRNA from 1 species
CGAACGCUGGCGGCAGGCCUAACACAUGCAAGUCGAACGCCGUAGCAAUACGGAGUGGCAGACGGGUGAGUAACGCGUGGGAACAUACCCUUCGGUUCGGAACAACUCAGGGAAACUUGAGCUAAUACCGGAUACGUGCGAGAGCAGAAAGAUUCAUCGCCGAAGGAUUGGCCCGCGUUCGAUUAGCUAGUUGGUGAGGUAACGGCUCACCAAGGCGACGAUCGAUAGCUGGCUGAGAGGAUGAUCAGCCACAUUGGGACUGAGACACGGCCCAAACUCCUACGGGAGGCAGCAGUGGGGAAUAUUGGACAAUGGGCGCAAGCCUGAUCCAGCCAUGCCGCGUGAGUGAUGAAGGCCCUAGGGUUGUAAAGCUCUUUCGUCAGGGGACGAUAAUGACGGUACCUGAAGAAGAAGCCCCGGCUAACUUCGUG